rnacentral:tRNA from 1 species
GCCGUGCUUGGAGCAGGGCGCUCCGGCCGCUUCCUGGGCGGCCGCUUUUUAGGCUCCGCGAUCUCCGCGGGCUUGGGCC